rfam:Sodalis glossinidius str. 'morsitans' DNA, complete genome.
GUCACACUACGGUGCAAACAGGGAUAAGUAAACGAUGACCCACACCGAACUCUGCGGUAAAAUACGUAUCAAAAUGCAAAACUGAGGCUGGCCUGGGAAGCGAUUCCGGGGUCGCUUCCUUU